CAAGCGAUUUUCCUGCUUCAGCCUCUCACCUAGAUGGAAUUACAGGUACGCACCACGACACCUAGCUAAUUUUUAUAUUUCAUUUUUUGGUAGAGAUGGAGUCUCGCUAUGUUGUCCAGGCUGGUCUUGAACUCUUGGCCUCAAGUAAUCCUCCUCACUUCAGCCUCCCAAAGCACUAGGAUUACAGGUGUGAGCCAUUACACCCAGCCAAGAUGAUGGACUCCUUCCAAUAUGGUGCCAGGAUCAUCCAAGAGGACAGCUGCCUUCCCACUGGAUCCUGAGCAGGACUUGCGGGUUGGCUCACUGCUGAGGGCUGGCCCGAGGGAUGUCAGAAGUCCAAGGACAGGAAAGCAACGUUCACGUGAGCUUUUUCCACCUUCCUUCUGUGAAGGGAGCCUGUGACUGAAUAGAAGCCAUGCUUAAAGUAUCAUUGUUUUAAAAGCUAAUGUUGCUGUGUGGCUCUGAAACACGACUUGCCAACGAGCCCUCUCACAGGUGUUCAUCUUGCUUAUUCAGAAAUGAAUAUUUCACAGCUUCCUGCCCUGGAAAUUGGCUUCCACCCAACUGAAUGAGUCACACACUUGUGGAUAAGCUCUCUUGGCUCAUUAUCUAUCUCGUCUUUGGAUUUGAAGUCUCAGCAAAUCAUGCUGUGGGAUCUGUCACUAUGCUCUCUACACCACGGACAUGACUGCAACGGUAUUUAUGACUCCUCCUGUCUUUGAAAGGUGGGGGGAAUAGUGGUUUCCUCUUUGUGCACUCUCCUAAUCUCUUCCUUACCAUGCUCUUAAUUUCCUAAUUCCCCCAAAU
rnacentral:lncRNA from 1 species